rnacentral:miRNA from 1 species
AAUACAGAACACCCAGUUCAAUUUGAAUUUCAGUUUAACAACAAUUUUUUUAAAGAUAAGUAUGUCCAUGCAAUCUUUGGGACAUAAUUAUCCUAAAAAAAAUUAUUCAUUGCUUAUCUGAAAUUCAAAUUCAACUGGCAUCCUGUAUUUU